UCAGACGGCUGGAUGGCUGCGCUGUCGCGGGCAACCGCGGCGGUGAGGAAAGUCCGGGCUCCACGGAGACACGGUGCCGGAUAACGUCCGGCGGGGGCGACCCCAGGGAAAGUGCCACAGAAAACAGACCGCCAGCCCGGUUCGCCGGGAAGGCAAGGGUGAAACGGUGGGGUAAGAGCCCACCGCGCGACCGGCAACGGAAGCGGCACGGCAAACCCCACCGGGAGCAAGACCAAAUAGGGGCGACACGCCGGGCAACCGGCAGCGGUGUUUCCGCGUCGUCGCCCGGGUCGGUCGCGCGAGGCG
rnacentral:RNase_P_RNA from 1 species